rnacentral:lncRNA from 1 species
CCCUCAAACCGAGUUGUUUGCAAAUUUUCCCUUUUGCUUAUGUCUAAGUAGGGAGCAUUAUUGAAUAAACUUGGUUUUGGAAUCUAAAGUUGGGGAGAGUAAAGUAAAAAGAUGUGAUUAGAAACUUGGAAAAGUGAGUUUUUAUGAAAGUGUGAAAAUAUGAAAAGAAAUAAGAAAAAGAAACCCUUGAAACCAUAGAGCAAAGAAAAAGAAAAGAAAGAAAAAAGCAAAGAAAAUGCUCAUGGUUGUGUGGAUGUGAAAAGAAAAAUAAAAAGAAAAAGAUAGGGAUCAAAG